GGUUCUAAUGCAAAGAUCACCCUGUGGAGUUUGCUUCAUAUUUUCAUUAUUGCCACACACUGACAUUUGAUCAGCGCCCUGAUUACAGGUUCUUGAAGCGGCUUUUUCGUGGUUUAUUCUCACGGGAAGGAUAUGAUUUCGACUAUAUAUUUGACUGGACUAUAAUUAAGUAUCAGCAAGCACAGAAAGCUAGAAAUCGGUCUCAGGCAAUUCCUGGGACACAAGCAAUCAUCGAGGAGGAACUAAUAUCUCACAUGAAGCUGAGGCCUCUGAGCGUGUUUAGAUCGGCUAUUGGUCCAACCCAGCAGAUGAAUAACAAUAGGAGUCCAGGUUUUGAUCACUCCCUCCACAAUAAGAUGCAAAUGCCAUUCACUUCAGCAUCACCUGAGUUGUGGCGUUAACUUGGUUUUGCUGCUUGAUUAACAUGUGUUUGCAGAAAAAAAUAAGAGCCAAGCCUUUAGCAGAGAGAUGUCCUUGAAACGCUUUUUGAGUCGAGAGGUUGCUUGUGGCACAGGGGACACGUGACCUAGCAUUACGGGUUAAGAUGGUGGUGGACUUCACCAUCAUUUAGCCAGCUUUCUGAUGAUUUUCAUAAUUAAUGAUUUUGCCAAGACUGAUGAUCAGUUUAAUCUGGAAAAGAACAAAUGUUAGUGAGCUCACUCAUGAAGCCAGUCUAAUGGUCAAAGUCUUGUAUUGGUGUCGGCCUUUGUUUCUGCGGUAUCCGACAGCUCGGUUUGUUUGCGCUCUUUACGAAAAACCAUCAUCACUGGCAUCAUCAUCCCCAUCAUCAUAAUCACUAUCAUCCAAGAGAUAGGUGUAGGUGUUAUCUGUAGCUUCAACGGAAACAAUAUCUCAGGGCGUAAGCGAGGACCUACUUCACAAUCGUCAUAAAGUUGAACCACCACAUGAUAUGAUGAUGCAAUGACUUCAUUUCUACAUAACAAUAAUGUUUGGCUUCAUUUACCUAUUUAUUAUUAUAUUUAUGUUCUUUGAAUUGUUUACAUUAUGUGGAUGAAAUUUUCUUAAAUCUGAAAAGAAUUAU